AUAACAUAGUGCAGAUAAAACAUAUAUUAUUGAUUGCUAGAGAAAUGGAACGUGACCACUCAUGAGUAUGGGAUUUCUGUGGGGGUAAUAACAGUGGUCAGAGCUGGGCAGGGUGGUACACACCUGUAUGUACACUCUACUAUUUUUAUCAUCUGCAAAUUAUUUGCCAAAUAAGAGAAAAAGCCCUAGUGUCAAUGGUAUAAUGAUGAUGACCGGGGGAGAGGAAGAGAAUCCCAAGUCUUACUGUCGAGGGAGAACUCACAAAUGAGAUUACUAUUCCCAAAUGGAGGAUACAAUCAAACUGGUCAGUUUGACAUUAAUUCUAGACAAGAUUCUAAAAUUAGUUACUUAAUGGAACUUUGCAGCAACCUAAAAAAGGAAACCAUCAGGAGCAUCAAGAUUCACUCAGUCAUCAUUUCAAAGGUCUGUACUUCCUUUCUUUCUCUUGAACUAUUUGGAGGAGAGAGGGAGGAUGGGCUAAAAGACCUAGUAGAGCUACCAAGGUCAAAGCCCUAAGAAAUCGGGGCAAAUGGCAUCAGCUGCUGAGAAUGUACACACCCUAGUUUCUCUUGGAUAAGAGGAGGAGCAAGGUUACAAAGCGAAGCACAAGAUAUACUGCAUGGUACCAAACUGAGGACGGGUAUAAGGAUCCAAAGCAAGAUUAAGCAACAAUCUAAAUCCAAUGGAAAACAAGCAAACAAACCAAAACUCUGACCCACGUAAGUUUAAGGCAUUGUAAGUCAAGGCUAACCAAUGAUUUCUUUGGGAGUGAUGGAAGUGUUCUGGGACUGGAUAGUGAUGAUGGGUGCACAACGCUGCGCAUGCACUAAAACCACGGGGUUGCAUAUUUGAUACAAGGGUCUUACAUCAUUUACAUUUUAUCACAUUAAAUAUAAAUGUAAUCAUUAUGUGCAAUAUAUAUAUAUAUGCUAUAUAUAAGAGGACUCACAAUACAAUCAAGUUAUAGAGACAAGGCAUAUGAAGCCUAGAUUAUUAAUGCCUAUUUUUUAAAAAAAAAAUGAAGUACUGAAAUAAAGACUACUGUUCAUUCUCUCAAGUAUUAUUUAUUUAAUGCAUGCUUACUUGGUACCAAGCACCAUGUGAGGUGCUGUGGAUGCAGGAGUGAAUACAUCCACAUUCUUCUGGGACUCCCAGGUAAGAGAGGAAACUCAACAUCCAACAAAUACCACCCAAGUGAAUAUAAUAAUCAAAAUGAGGGACACAAAAGAACAAAAUGGUCCUAUACAAGAAAUACAACAGGCAAGUCUAAUUUAGAUGAAGGACACAGGCAAUAGCCCCUCUGAGGUUACAUUUACUACAUUUAUUUAUUUUAUGUGUGAUUUGUCUGUAUUUAUGUGUAUGCACCACAUGAGUGCUUGGUACCUGUACAGGUCAGAAGAGGGCAUUGGAUGCCCUGGAACUGGAGUUAUAGAUGGUUGUGAAUUAUCAUGUGGGUGCUGCGAAUUGAAGCUGGGUCCUCUGCAAGAGGAACAAGUGCUCUUAACCACUAAGCCAACUCUCCAGGCCUGGAGUGUACAUUUAAUUUGAAACUAUGACUAUGAGAAAUUUAGCCUGGUAAAGAAAAGAUCGGAGUGAGUGCACCAUCCCUCAUUCCUCCCGCAAUGGAAUGACAGUGCACAAGUCCCGAGGUAGAGAAGAACCCGUCCACACUUGAUAAACCUUCAAAGGGCAUUGCCCUGGUCAGGAAAUGGUCACUAAAUAAAGCUAGGGAAUUAGGACAAGUCAGUCACACAAAGCCCUAAAGUCCUCUGGGGAUUCUUGUUUUGUGUACAGGUUCAGAGAGAAAUCACUCAAAAUACUGUGACAGAGAAGAAAGAUGGCUGAUUCCAAUGGCUUGAUUGGAUAUUAAAAAAAAUAAAUAAAUAAAUAAAAACAGACAAAAACCUAGAGCAUUAAUGAGGCACAUGGAUGUGGGAAGCACCAUCCCAAGAGCUGGGGUCCCAGAAUAGAUCAAAAGGGCACAAUAACUAAGUGGUAUCAUUCCCCUUUCUCUGCCUCCUGCUGAACACCAAGGACCAAGCCAUUCUACCUUCAAGGCCUCUUCCUCCGUGAUGGACUGCAAACCCUUCAACCGCGAGCCAGAGUAAACCCUUCCCACCGCAAGUUGCUUUCUGCCAGGUGUCUGGUUGCUGCUCUGAGAAAAUUAAUCCAAGUAACGGGUGACCGUGUCCUGUCCUAACAGAAUCACCCAGGCAAGAAGAAAACAGAAAAUGAGGAGACUCUAGAGUAAGGGCUCAGACCAAGGAGUGGGAGUCGGAAGGAAGAGGAAGCAUUUCAAGGUCUGUACCAGAGAGGAUCACAUAUUCCAUCAAUAACUCAAAUUUACAGAUGUGGAGGAAAUGCCUUUCAGAAGAUUACUCAGCCAGACCCCAGACAACCAAAAGAAAUUCUUACCAACACUUCAAGCUGUUUCUAGCAACUCAGAAGUCUUUUUAUGUAAGUAAUUCUUGAGCUCAAAUAAUUACCAACUUUCCAAGAGCACUGGCAUGGUUUCUGGGUGGUAGUGAAAGAUCAACAGCAGAGCAGGGACCCCAAUUUCCACUGUCAAGAGUACAGGUAACACCACGCGGCCUCACUUCACCCAACUGCAAAGCAGCUUGUUCUUGGGGUAUUUUUUCCCCUGGUAGAAACGCAUCGUAUUUAGCCUAUGUUCUGUUAACAGUUUUAGUAAAGUGUACACACAGGCACACAGAGAAGGAAAGAAAUAUGUACAUGGCAUUCCUAAUUAUUCAUAUGUAUGUAUCUUCUUAAACUUCACUCCAGAGCACAGGUGGUGACAGCUAUUAGUUUUCACUGCACAAAUCAAUAACUUACAUUGUUAAUGGGAAAGCAACUAUACAUUAUGGUGAUAUUUUAUUUGUGCUGAAAUGUGAUUUUAUUUGUAUAUUAAUAAAAGUUGCCUGGGGGUCAGAGCUAAUAGCAAGCCAUUUAGCAGAAGUCUGGCAGUGGUAGCACACACCCUUAAUCCCGAUCACAUGGCAGGCAGAGUCUGUGUGUUCAAGGACAUAGCCAGCUUGGAGACACACGCCUUUAAUCUCAAUACCAACCAAAGAAGACCUGGAGGUCUGUAUAGACAGGCAGUGAUGAGGAGGUCAUGUGGUUGGGUUUACAACCAAUGAGAAGGCAGAACAGAAAGUCAAUAAAAAGACAGACACACAGGAGGUAGGCCUCUUUCUCAGGGGAAGGACGGCAGCGACAGCGAGGGGUAAGAAGGCAGUCUUAGUCUUGGCUGCUGCUCGAUCUCUGGGCUUUCAACUCUGCAUUUGGCUCUGUGUUUCUUAUUUAAUAAGACCGUUCAGAAUUACAUCUACAAUAUACCAUACAUACAUGCACUUAUUUUCUUCAAAACAAACCCAUUUCCAUCCUGGUAAAUAUGGCACCAAAUGAACAGUUAAACAAAAUUUGUAUAUACAGACCCAAGAUAUAAAACUAUGAAGUCAACAAAAACUGCCUAUUCAGUUUCCAGAGAAGGUAACGGGAGCAUGAAGUAAGUAAAGUAUGACUAUGACUGUUAACAGCUACACAUUUCACAAUGUAUGCUUUGAAAGUAGCUGGACUCUUUUUCUUCAGGCAUAUGCAACCUUUAAUGUGUAAAAUUCAUGUGUUUGGUGUAUGCACCUCUAGAGGCUAGAGCUUGACCCUGGACGCCUUCCUCUGUUGUUCUAUGACUCUCCGCCUCAUUUUUGAGGCAGGGUCUCUCUUGAUGAACUUGGAGCUUGCUGUUUUGACUAGACUGGCCGGUGAGCUAUGGCAAGCCUCUUUAUCUCCACCCACCCCUCGGCGCUGGGGUUAGAGGUGUGUGUCAACACACAACCCAGCUUUUAUGCGGGUGCUGGGGAUCCUCAUACUUGUGUAAUGCACACUUCACUCACUGAGUCAUCUUCCAAGCCCAACAUAUUUAACCUUUUGAUGUUACUAUAUACGACCUUGUCAUCUACAAAGUUCACAGCGGAGUACCAUGCAAUUAAGCUUUGCUUGUUUGAUCUCAUAGUGUUUUAAGUUUCCUGUUUUGUGCUGAGCUGCAUUCACAGCUACCCUUGAAGCACUAUACACUGCCUACAAGGUAGUGAUAAAUUGAAAACCAUUUUGAAAAAUACUUCUUGGCUAUGUCCAAGGUGAAACAGAGUUAGGACCAGAAAAUGACUUUACUCUCCCAAGUUCGUACUGAAAGAGAGAAUGCCACCCAGUGCCACGAGAGAUCCCCUGUCACCCUUGCUGCUGACAUCCACACAAGACACCAUCUGUAUAAAGGGCCUCUUCAUCAUGAAAGAAGAAUGCCCUUGGUGAGAAACAAAGGAAAUUCAGGGGUUAAAUUCAUCAUUCUCCGAUACAUUAUUUAGUACCACUUAAGCCCUGAAAGCCUUGGGCCACCUAUCUUGCGGUUUACUGCACUGUCUUCCAAGUUUACAAUUUCCUGAUUGUAAAGCAACAAUUUAAUUCCACAGUGCAACAUCAAUACAAUUUACAUUUACCACUGGAGCUGACAUUCUCCAGCAAGAUAGAAGAUGGAUUCCUCUACAAACAUAAUAUUAAAGAGGUUUUUACUAAGAGGUAUCGGCCUCCAUUUCAGACUGUAGGAAUAAAUUCUUCUUGCUGGGUACAGAGCAAAGUAACCACAUUUACCUUCCCAUGAAAUAAUAAUACCCCUGGGGCCACAUGAGUUCUGUUCAUUUGGAUAUAGCUUCGGCCUAAGUCUGUCGGGGGCCUAGAUUUUAAAUAUAAGAUGUUUUUGAAAGGGCUGUGUGGUGUUAACAAGAGACAGACAACAGGAUUUUAAGAUGUAUUCCUUCCCAGGGGUUUUGAAAACCUGACAGUAAUUUCUAUUAUUAUUUUCAUUCUAAACUAUAUUACAACAACAAAGAGUGGUAAGGUUGGGUACAGUGGCCAAGGCUUCCCGUCUUAUUUGACUGGUGAGUUUAACACCCACCCACGGACGACUCUAUACGCAGCAUCCUUCUUCCCUAAGAACCAAACAAAGUGGAAACAGAGGAAUACGCCAUCACUCCGUUACGGCAAGUAUGGAUCCUAAGCUCAGAGGAAGGGCCCUAGCAGCUCCCACCCUGGAAUGGGAAAGGAUGCAUCGGGGUUUCCAUUGUUGUGAAGAGACAUCAUGACCACCAAGAACAGCAGCAGCAGCAGUGGGGUGGAGCCAGCUGGAUCCUAGAAGACAAGCUGUGUGUGCUGCAGAGGGCAGAGCUGGAGAAGUGACCCAAGUUCUUUGGAGGAGUCCAGAAGAUCAUGAGUGGAUCCCAGACAUUGGAUACUGAGUUAUUUACAGCUGGGGUUUGGAUUUGCUUUGAUUUUAUUGUGACUCCACCCUGGUUCUUCCCUCUUGAAGAAAGCAUUUAACUUAAUUUUUUAUUUUUGUAGGAGUCCACGGCUGGAAGGACUUUGAACUUUCAAAAGAUGUUUUAGAUUUUUAAAGGGAUUGAAUAUUUUAAAGAGAUAACCUUGAAUGUGUUUGACUUUGUACGAUCAGAGGGACUUUUAAAGUUAUUUGUUUUAUACUGUGAUAUUAAUAUUAACAUUCCAUCUUGGGGACAAAUGAGAAAGGAAAGGUUCUGAUCGAAAAGUGAUGUGUUUGUGUGUCACAUUGACAAGCAGCCAGUUGUACUGUCUACUUUUAUGUCAACUUCACACAAACCGGAGUCACCUGAGACUAGGGAGCCUCAACUGAGAAAAUGCCUCCGGAAGAUCCAGCUAUAAGGCAUUGCCUUAAUUAGUGAUGAAUGGGGGAGGGCCCAGCCAUUGUGGGUGGUGCCAUUCCUAGGCUGGUGGUCCUGAGUUAUAUAAGAGAGCAGGCUAAGCAAGCUGUAAGAAUCAGGCUAUUAAGCAGCACCCCUCCAUGGCCUCUGCAUCAGUUCCUGACUCUGGGAUCCUUCCCUGUUUGAGUUCCUGCUCUCACCCCUUCUGAAGAUGAGCUGUUAUAUGGAAGUGUGAGUGCAAUUAACCCUUUCCUCCCAAAGUUGCUUUGGUCAUGGGGUUCCAUCACCGUAAUAGUAACCCUAACUAAGACAUUGACCUUAUCUAAACUCAGAUAAAAAUCUGUAGAAGUUUAGAAAGAAAAUUGAAUGAAACAUAUAUAGUAAGUCUGAGGAACUCAGCUCCUUGUAUCCUUAUUUCCAAAUUCUUCACCAUUAGGCACUGUAUCACGAAUAUUCUAAGCCUUUGCGCAUGUGUUAUUAACAACUUUGCAGGCUGUUUCUUGAUCCUUUCAUUUCAUCUGUAGGUUUGAAUUUGUUCCAGUCUGCUUAAGCCAGUUCACUGGUUAAUGAAACAACUGAUGGCUGAUUGGCUCUGUCUCCACAGUGAGUGGUAAUUAUCUGCUUUCUUAUAUGGCAACCUGCUCAGUAUACUCAGCCACUCAUUGCUUCCUGAAGCCUCAGGGAAUCUUGUAAUUGCCCUUUGGUGACAGCAGUCAUUCCCUGCCCAACUUUUAAUUUCAUUUCACGACUAAAUUUUGAUCAUGAACAGUUCCUGCACAUCUCUUUGGGAGCUGAAGCUGAUGUGUGAUGUUACUGUUCAAUCAAUUUAGAUCCACCUGUCACAUGGUCGCCAUGGUCUCCCAAAGCACUGGCCCCACACUCUCCUUUGAGGAGACACCUCUAGAUUUAUAUUAUUUCCCAACCAAUGUUCUCACAAAAGGUUGCGGGGAUAGAGUUACAUAAAUAGGUGGAAUCACAAAAGUCUUGCCCCCAAUGAACAAAGCAUUACUUCAACAUGACUACCACUCAUAAAAAAUAGACAUUUCCAAUAUAUUCUUGUUACUAAAAAGACGACAUGUAGUACACUGCUUUUAACCUUCACGAGCUAAUUCUUGUUUCAAAUUAUAUAAUUUUUAAAGCAUUCUAUUAAAAAUUUGACUAAUUCUAAAAAGCAAUAGCUUUAAAAGCAAUCUUUUAUGAGCAACUAAAUUGUACUACAACCACUGAGCAGUAAGGUAUAUUAAAUUCAGAUCCAAUUUGAUAGACUUCUCUAUUUGAAAAAAAUAUUUUCUAAUCAGAGGAAUAUAAUAGGUUGGUUUAAGAACAAACUAUAAGAGUUGGAAAAGUAACUCAGCAGCUAAGAGUACUUAUUCUUGCUGAGGAUCUCUGUUCAGUUCCCAGCACCCACAUGGUGGCUCAUAAGCAUUCAUAACUCCAUCUCCCAAGGAUCCAAUGCUUUCUUCUUACUCUGAGGGUACCAGAUAUGCAUAUGGUACAAAUACAAGCAUGCAAGCCAAACACCCAUGAGAUAAAAUAAAUCUAUUUUAAACAAAUAAAAAGAAUAAACAUAUAGGUGCAAUUCAUCAUAAUGAAUGAUGAAUUCAAAAUGAAUUCAUCAUUCAUUUGUUAGACUAAAACAAAAACAAACCUGUUUGUCAUCUUAAGAGAUGCAGAAAAGUCAUCUCACAAAAUACAAGAUCCACUCCCAAUUUAAAAAAAUGAUUCAGCAGCUUAGGAAGAGAGACCUUCCCCUACCUGAUAAAGUCUACGAAGAUAUAGGCAAAACAGUAAUACACAUAAAAUAGGUAAUUCUAAAAAUAAAUUUAAAAAGUAUUUAUCAAUUGAGUUGGAAGACUAAGGGCUAACAAAAUUUGUAAUUGUAAGCAAUAGCACCAUCUACUCUGAAAUAGUUCAUAAAUAUUUUAUUUUUCACAAUACCCCUAUGAAGAAAGAUUAUAGACAUUAUCAGAAUUAUGAGGGGGAAAUACCCCCCACCCCAAGAAGAAGUAACUUAACACAGCUGGAUUCAGAAUCAUGCUGUCUAACUCAAAUUCUCAUGCCCUGUCCUUCCACUGGCUUGUUGAGAAGGUCAUUGUGUUGUUGCUGAGGCUGACAUACUGGCAUCCCAUAAUUCACUGGACUUCUUCAGCCAAGGGUUCAUGUCCUGUUAGAGGGUCAAUGGAGAUGUCUGAGUCUUGACUUCACAGAGAUAUGUGUAUCCUUUAUGUCAAUGGGAUGACAUUUGUAGUGAUUUACGUCAUGGCAUUAGCUGGCAUUAGUAAUAAAUUACAACAUAGGGACAAUACUGUCAAGCGAAAAUCAUCUAAAUUUCCAGAUUUUUAAAAACAUACAACCAUUUCAAUAUCUUCUCCUUUUCUUUAUCCUUCACUCUUCUUUUAUUCCAAAUAAAAAUCUUCAAAUGA